UUCACUCCUAUCAUUGCGCUUGUCGUGAUGUGGGCUAUCAUUGCGUUGGCAUUUGAUGCGACGAUUGCGAUGGAUGCGCUUGAAACAGCGAGAUAGCGCAUGCGUUUUCUAGCAUUUACGGGAAUACUUAAAUGCAUAUCCUAUUUGUUGCAGGGGAAUAAAUGCAUACCUUUUUUGCAUUUCCAGGGGAAUAAAUGCAUACCUUUAUAGGGAAUAAAUGCAUACCAUUGAUGGCAUGUGCUACUAGCUGGAUAUAUGUUGCCCUCUAUCGUCUAGUCUAGAUCACAAUCACAACACAAAACCAAGAGCGACCACCUGUGUUGGAUGACCAUGGCAAAGUAUGCACAUAUGUCUUUCAUCAUUAUGGUCCUUGUUCUACGCGCCAGCUUCCAAGCCCAAGGACAACUAGGACCGACGGACACACACAACAUCACCGAGUACAUCCCGUUGGAGUUCACAAAGACUUUUUUCCAGACCCACGGAAUACAUCCCUCCGAUACAUCGAUUGCGUUUAAAAGGUGUAGGCCGUACCCCUGCUGCCCAAAGGAUCCCAAGAAACCAUGUAUUGAAGCACCAAGCUGUUGCUAUCAGAUAAACUGCAAUGAUCCUGGGCAACCACUUGGUACUUGUACUGAACGCGCGUUCUCCUGUAAUUGUGACAAUAGUUGCAAGUGAUCAAGUGUUUCCCUUAAAAAAACUGUUUUUGUUUUCCCGCAAAAAAAAACUGUUUUUGUUUUCCCGCAAAAAAAACUGUUUUUAGUUAGCUAUGAAGAAGCAAGAUGGAUUACAUUGACCCAAAACCAGUCAAGCAGAUAAGAUAAAGUAGCAACCAAAACAAACAGAUUUUAACGGCGACUCCGCUCUCUCCAAGCUCUGAAUCCGGCGACUCCGCUCCCCCGCGGGCCUCAUGUUCGUUGGGUAGUGGUUAGAUUCGCCGGAUCAGCUGCAUAGUUCGUUUUGGCUAUAGUCUAGGUUAGAUUGGGUUUGACUGACCGUCAUGGCUUCUCCGACAGCGAUGGCGGUGGCCGUCAAUAAGGGUGCCUCAUAUCUAUCCCUCACGCUUUAGUCUUCACAGCAGUGGGUGACAGAUCUGGAGGCUACGGUCUGCUCGCGCGUCAUGUGUCGCCAGUGAGAUCUUGGUGGUAGGGCUCGGUCGGCGAGGCGGCGGCAGAGUCCGAACUCUUGUCAUUUGUCCAUCGGGCUUGUCUCCGUCUUAGCGGUGUCUCCUCCAACACAGCUCGAGCGCAUGGGAGGAUGCUUAGGGGUGAAUUGACCGAUGUUGGAUCCCUCCUCGGAUGGUGGCAGCACGGGCGACCCCUGGGACAUGGUGGCCUCGUAUAAGGGUUUGUGGAAGACGGUGAGCAGAUGCGAUCUCCUCCUUCGACGGCAUCGAGCGGAGUCGGCGGAUCUACAAUCCGACGAGCAUGGGGAUGUUCCCAGACCGGCGUGCUGCAGAGGUUCAGCCUUGUCGUUCUGUGGCGGGCUGCUCAAUCGGUUCACAACGUUGCUUCAGCUAUGAUGCAUCAGCGGAUCUGGUUUGUGGGGUUGCUCGCUUUUCCUAUUGCCGGCGGUGCUUCAGCAACGACUGUGGUCGGCACCGAGCGAAGAUGACAAUGGAUGCAAGGGUCUCUUAGGACUGAGUUUUUACUUGUUUCUUUGGACGUCUUUUGUGCAAUUGUACGGGGACACCUGUGUUCCUUGGUCUUUUUUAUGAAUUUUGUGUGUACAUGUUGUUUAUGCUAUUUUCAAUAAACACGUAGUUUUUCCUUAAAAACA